rnacentral:misc_RNA from 1 species
AGAGAGAGAGAGAGAGGGAGAGGGUGGGGGCGAUUGGCCAGGGUAGGGUCUUAGUCAAAACAAGCAUUUCCCUCACCUCCGUGCAGACAAUGGUUAUCAUUCUUGAGAUGACGAGACUAAUUCCUAAUUUUAUGUAAAAUAAAUACCUAAAUCAUCUCCUUCACAGCAAUAUGCAUUAACUGAACAAGGCAAACAUAAAACCCAUGUCAUUCCUUCCACAAUUAGGUCCAUGCAAAAACAUUCAUUAAAGGUCCAUUUGAUAUCCAAGCUAUUUUGGGUUUUAGAUUGUUGUUGUU